rnacentral:rRNA from 1 species
UACGGAGGGGGCGAGCGUUGUCCGAAGUUACUGGGCGUAAAGCGCGCGUAGGCGGGCUGGCAAGUCCGCUGUGAAAGCCUGCGGCUUAACCGCAGAGGGUCGGUGGAUACUGCCAGUCUUGAAGGUGCUAGGGAGAGAUGGAAUUACCGGUGUAGCGGCGAAAUGCGUAGAGAUCGGUAGGAACACCAGUGGCGAAGGCGGUCUCUUGGAGCACUCUUGACGCUGAGGCGCGAAAGCUGGGGGAGCGAACGGG